rnacentral:rRNA from 1 species
GUAGGUGGCAAGCGUUGUCCGGAAUUAUUGGGCGUAAAGCGCGCGCAGGCGGUUCGUUUAAGUCUGAUGUGAAAGCCCACGGGCUCAACCGGGGAGGGUCAUUGGAAACUGGAGAACUUGAGUACAGAAGAGGAAAGCGGAAUUCCACGUGUAGCGGUGAAAUGCGUAGAGAUGUGGAGGAACACCAGUGGCGAAGGCGGCUUUCUGGUCUGUAACUGACGCUGAGGCGCGAAAGCGUGGGGAGCAAACAGGAUUAGAUACCCUGGUAGUCCACGCCGUAAACGAUGAGUGCUAAGUGUUAGGGGGUUUCCGCCCCUUAGUGCUGCAGCUAACGCAUUAAGCACUCCGCCUGGGGAGUACGGCCGCAAAGGCUG